rnacentral:rRNA from 1 species
UACGGAAGGCAGCAGUGGGGAAUAUUGCACAAUGGGCGCAAGCCUGAUGCAGCCAUGCCGCGUGUAUGAAGAAGGCCUUCGGGUUGUAAAGUACUUUCAGUCGUGAGGAAGGUGUUAAGGUUAAUAACCUUAGCAAUUGACGUUAGCGACAGAAGAAGCACCGGCUAACUCCGUGCCAGCAGCUGCGGUAAUACGGAGGGUGCGAGCGUUAAUCGGAAUUACUGGGCGUAAAGGGCACGCAGGCGGUUAAUUAAGUUGGAUGUGAAAUCCCCGGGCUUAACCUGGGAAUGGCAUUCAAGACUGGUUAGCUAGAGUCUUGUAGAGGGGGUAGAAUUCCAUGUGUAGCGGUGAAAUGCGUAGAGAUGUGGAGGAAUACCGGUGGCGAAGGCGGCCCCUGGGACAAAGACUGACGCUCAUGUGCGAAAGCGUGGGGAGCAAACAGGAUUAGAUACC